CCUACGGGGUGCUGCAGUGGGGAAUAUUGGACAAUGGGCGAAAGCCUGAUCCAGCCAUGCCGCGUGUGUGAAGAAGGCCUUCGGGUUGUAAAGCACUUUCAGUGGGGAAGAAAGCCUUGGGGCUAAUACCCUCGAGGAAGGACAUCACCCACAGAAGAAGCACCGGCUAACUCCGUGCCAGCAGCCGCGGUAAUACGGAGGGUGCGGGCGUUAAUCGGAAUUACUGGGCGUAAAGCGCGCGUAGGCGGUCUGAUAAGCCGGUUGUGAAAGCCCCGGGCUCAACCUGGGAACGGCAUCCGGAACUGUCAGGCUAGAGUGCAGGAGAGGAAGGUAGAAUUCCCGGUGUAGCGGUGAAAUGCGUAGAGAUCGGGAGGAAUACCAGUGGCGAAGGCGGCCUUCUGGACUGACACUGACGCUGAGGUGCGAAAGCGUGGGUAGCAAACAGGAUUAGAUACCCUGGUAGUC
rnacentral:rRNA from 1 species